rnacentral:snoRNA from 1 species
UGGUGCCUAUGAUGACUUGCAAGAUUAAUAGCCUACAUUGUUUGACAAGCAUCUUCGUGAUAUUAAUUGCAAGAUGCUGAGGCUUGA